UGGGGAAUAUUGCGCAAUGGGCGAAAGCCUGACGCAGCGACGCCGCGUGAGGGAUGAAGGCCUUCGGGUUGUAAACCUCUUUCAGCAGGGAAGAAGCGCGAGUGACGGUACCUGCAGAAGAAGCACCGGCUAACUACGUGCCAGCAGCCGCGGUAAUACGUAGGGUGCAAGCGUUGUCCGGAAUUAUUGGGCGUAAAGAGCUCGUUGGCGGUCUGUCGCGUCUGCUGUGAAAAUCCAGGGCUCAACCCUGGACCUGCAGUGGGUACGGGCAGACUAGAGUGCGGUAGGGGAGAUCGGAAUUCCUGGUGUAGCGGUGAAAUGCGCAGAUAUCAGGAGGAACACCGGUGGCGAAGGCGGAUCUCUGGGCCGUAACUGACGCUGAGGAGCGAAAGCAUGGGGAGCGAACAG
rnacentral:rRNA from 1 species